rnacentral:lncRNA from 1 species
UAUGGCCCAACAGCAGCUGCUGCAUAUCUGAUUAUGGACAUUGCCCUCAGAAUUGGCAUUGAGAUGAUGGAUGAACCACCUGCCAUAAAACAUCUAGGAUUAAUCUUUAAAAAGGAUCUAAACCUAUUCCAGCUGAUGGUAUCGCAAAUCCUUUGAUUACCUUGAAAGUGAGCAGAAAUGGGCCACAACUGAGAAUUUCCCUUUUAAUGUUAACCUGACUACAAAAUCUUCAGAGGACCCCGGAGGAUUUCACCAUAUGCACUUUGCUAAAUUGCACAGCAUCGGGCUUCAGUGUUCAUCUGGUCACUCUGUGUACUUGGGGCCCAAUGAGUCACUCCCGAAUAACAAAACAGAACAAGGCAAAACUGAAUUCCAG